AGAGAAAGAGAGAGAGAUGGAGAAAGAGAGUGAGAGGAUGAGCUAACCAUCUGUAGUUACAUGCUGCUGCUAUGCUGUUUUCUGACUGUUGGCUGUGUGAUUGGAAAAGGUUUGGUCUCUGCUGGAGAGUCAGGAAAUGAUACCACUAAGGUACUCUGUCAGGUUUGGUCUCUGCUGGAGAGUCAGGAAAUGAUCCCACUAAGGUACUCUGUCAGGUUUGGUCUCUGCUGGAGCGUCAGGAAAUGAUCCCACUAAGGUACUCUGUCAGGUUUGGUCUCUGCUGGAGCGUCAGGAAAUGAUCCCACUAAGGUACUCUGUCAGGUUUGGUCUCUGCUGGAGCGUCAGGAAAUGAUCCCACUAAGGUACUCUGUCAGGUUUGGUCUCUGCUGGAGCGUCAGGAAAUGAUCCCACUAAGGUACUCUGUCAGGUUUGGUCUCUGCUGGAGCGUCAGGAAAUGAUCCCACUAAGGUACUCUGUCAGGUUUGGUCUCUGCUGGAGCGUCAGGAAAUGAUCCCACUAAGGUACUCUGUCAGGUUUGGUCUCUGCUGGAGCGUCAGGAAAUGAUCCCACUAAGGUACUCUGUCAGGUUUGGUCUCUGCUGGAGCGUCAGGAAAUGAUCCCACUAAGGUACUCUGUCAGGUUUGGUCUCUGCUGGAGCGUCAGGAAAUGAUCCCACUAAGGUACUCUGUCAGGUUUGGUCUCUGCUGGAGCGUCAGGAAAUGAUCCCACUAAGGUACUCUGUCAGGUUUGGUCUCUGCUGGAGCGUCAGGAAAUGAUCCCACUAAGGUACUCUGUCACUAGGUCUGAGGGUUGAAAGUGGAUGGCGAUCAAAACAAGGGUGAAUCAAAAACACA